AUAAUAUUAGGAAUAAAAUAAGUUUGGAGAGAAAAAGAUGACCUUGGGCUGGCCUUCGAAGUGUCUUUCAACACUUUGAAUCCAUUCUUUCUCCUCUAGUUUUUCAAAAUGUAACGAAUGUACUUAGCAUUUAUUUUCACGUUCUCUUUAGGGAGCUAAGAAUAACAUGUUUAAAAGACUUCUUUGGUGGGAGGCUGAAGCAAAACGAUCCCAUGUUCGAGUCCCGUCUGGGCAAUUUAGCGACACUCUAUCUCAAAGUAAAAGAUAAAAAGGGUUGGGGAGGUAGCUGACUGUGAAGAUCCUGGGUUCAAUCCCCAUUACCAGUCAAAACAAAACAAAACCCUUUUUGGAAAACUAGGGUUGAAGUACUCUUUAUCCCAGCUAUUGUAGCUAAGUAGCAGAGAAACUAGCUCAUUGAUUCCGAGCACAACUCGGAGGCUCUGAGACUGGCGCGACCAGGGGCGGGGCUCACCAGGCGGGGGAGGGGGAGAAGUGGACUGGACCUAGGCACUACCCCGCCCCAAGAGGCAAGACGCAUGCGCCCAGAGGCUUCUGGCGGAACGAAGUGUGGAUUGUGAGGUGACCCUGCUGCUUACUUCCGGUUCCUAGGGAUGCGCGUCCGGGUCACGCUAACACCGCGGUUUCCUCCACUCUGUUGGUUCUACUCUGGGUCUGGGCCGGUCCCCAUGUCUUACUGUGGGACUUCUGCAGCCUUUGGGGUAUAUAAAGCUUCGAAUCCCCCUCUCGAACAGAUUGUGAAGACUGCAGAAAGAGAGUUGGAAUCCAGUUACACAAGUAUAAUAAAGAAAUAUCGGUCUUCAUGGAAGAAGAACAAGAUUUACCAGAGCAACCAGUAAGUAUUUCCUUUAACAAUUUAAAGCUAAUUAUAGAAAAACUAAUCUUACGAGAUUUUAAUUAUUAUUUAAUUGUACAUACUUAUAAAUUCCAAAUUAGAAAUGAAAAUAAAGACUUCUUAAUAGUUUUCCUCUAAG
rnacentral:lncRNA from 1 species